CCCUUAGAUGUUCUGGGCUGCACGCGUGCUACAAUGGCGCUUGCAACAAGUCUUGCCAACCCGAUAGGGUGAGCGGAACUUUGAAGAGGCGUCGUGAUCGGGACAGUUGAUUGCAAUUAUUCGACUCGAACGAGGAAUUCCUUGUAAUCGCGAUUCAUCAUAUCGCGCUGAAUACGUCCCUGCCCUUUGUACACACCGCCCGUCGCUCCUACCGAUUGAGCGAUCCGGUGAAUGUUUUGGACUGGCGUCAGAAGCGGUUCGCUCCUGACACUACGAAACUUUGUAAACCUUAUCGCUUAGAGGAAGGAAAAGUCGUAACA
rnacentral:rRNA from 1 species